AAUAAUUUCAGUCAUAUCGGUCAAUUGUUUUUGUGUUAAAAAAACAAAUUGUUGUAUUUUCAAAAUAAAUUCAGUAGUAUACAGUUUAAUCCGAAAUGUUGAACAAAAUCAAGAAAUAGCGAAUAUUAUCGACAACAGCACGCACGCAACAGUGUUUUAAGGCUGCCCAGCAAGUAGUAAGCGCGAUUUUCAUCUACUAAAAUACUAAACAUGGUUGUUAUAAGUUGAAUCUAAAAAUUACCAUUAGAGAUGUAAGAAUCUCGAUGAAACUAUCGCAACUGUGUUUCUAAUAUUCUGGGAAUAAGUAAAUCUGCGUUAUUUUUCAUAAAUAUUAAAACUAUCGGUGGUGCCACCACCAUACAUAUAUUGGUCUCUUUCUAUGGAAAAGGUAUUUCCGCAGGAAUAUCAGUAUAAUAACUGUUCUUUGUACCAUGACGCGACAUCAGAUGUUGUCUGAGGAAAUAUCGCGUAAUAUAAAUGAAUCGCAUGCAAUACCAACAAUAACAGAGCCGAACAAGUAU